CCCAGAUCAAAGAAGGUUUGAUCGAAGAACACAAGAAAAUCAAAAUGGGAUCUCCUGAUGAUCUUGAAAACACCUUUGUUACAGCAGUCAUUGAUGAAAAUUCCUUUGAUAACAUCAAGUCCUAUAUUGACUACUGCAAAGAGAGCAGCAACAUAACCAUCCUUGCUGGAGGAAAGUGUGACAAGAGGUAAAUACAGUUGUAGUUUAAUUA